GACGGACAAAUCAACUUCAUCAAGAACCCACAAGGCAAAGCGGACUGUGCCCGGGCGUGCAGGACUUAUGCUAAGGUCAAAACUAAGCAUGAGGCUUGUCUAUUAGGGUGCUUCACUUUAUACGAGUGCCUUUACAGGGAUAUAAAGGAAAAGCCCAAAACAUACAUAGUUCAUGAUGUUUGUGAGACCAGCUGUAAAGAAGAAUGUGACAAGCAUUAUGAAAAGUUCACGCCUCAGUUGUGGACAUGCAGGGUUGGAUGUACAGCUCUUGAUCAGCUCAGCGCAGAUGGGUAUUUACCUGCUCAAGAUUUCAUAGAACCUGAUACUCUGAGUGAUUACCCUGAACCUGAUACUCUGAGCGAACCUGAUACUC